AUUGAACGCUGGCGGCAGGCUUAACACAUGCAAGUCGAACGAGUGGCGGACGGGUGAGUAAUGCUUGGGAAACUGCCUGAUGGAGGGGGAUAACUACUGGAAACGGUAGAUAAUACCGCAUACCAUCAGAUGUGCCCAUAUGGGAUUAGCUAGUAGGUGGGGUAACGGCUCACCUAGGCGACGAUCCGUAGCUGGUCUUAGAGGAUGACCAGCCACACUGUAACUGAGACACGGUCCAGACUCCUACGGUAGGCGGCAGUGGGGAAGAGUGCACAAUGGGCGCAAGCCUGAUGCAGCCAUGCCGCGUGGGUGAAGAAGGUCUUAGGGUUUUAAAGCACUUUCAGCGGGGAGGCGUUACCCGCAGAAGAAGCACCGGCUAACUCCGUGCCAGCAGCCGCGGUAAUUC
rnacentral:rRNA from 1 species